UGUAUCUCUAUUAUGAUGUCAUGUAGGGAACUUUAGAAGAAUGUUUUGGGUUGUCGAAUGAUGUCGUCCAAUCCAAUAAAACAAGGAAAAUCUGAGAGUUAAUUAGUGAUGUCAUGGUUAAUUUGGAGCAUUGUCAUUCAUAAUUCAAUGAAGUAGUAACUGGAAAUCAAGUUAUUUGCAUGCAUGUCAUGUGUGGAGAAAAAGCCUCUAGCUAUUCCAUCCAUCAUCUUAUUUCUCAAAUUUAUUUUACAAUCUGUCUAAUUUUUCAUACUUGUUUGUUUGUUUCAACUUCAUCCAAAUCAAAACCCCCCUUUUAGUUUCUUGUUUCAGAGUGUUUCAAAUAUGUUUUAGUUUGUGUUUUUAAGUGUUUUGAUUCAAGUAAAAGUCAAUUUUCGUCCAAAGUCAUUCCUAGUGUCUAGUUUGAGUUUAUUUGGUUGUUUUAAGUUAUUUUGAGUAUUUUAAGUUUGCUUUGAGUCUUGAGAGUCUUAUUAAGUGUUUUUAAGUUUAGUUUUAUGUUUUUGAGUCAGUUUAGAUGUUAUUAGCAAGCCCUCCUAAUCCCCGUUCCAGAACGAUCCCUACUUAUACUUUUACUAC
rnacentral:lncRNA from 1 species